rnacentral:rRNA from 1 species
GACGAACGCUGGCGGCGCGCCUAACACAUGCAAGUCGAACGAGAAAGAAGGAGCUUGCUUCUUCGAUCGAGUGGCGAACGGGUGAGUAACGCGUGAGGAACCUGCCUCAAAGAGGGGGACAACAGUUGGAAACGACUGCUAAUACCGCAUAAGCCCACGGGUCGGCAUCGACCAGAGGGAAAAGGAGCAAUCCGCUUUGAGAUGGCCUCGCGUCCGAUUAGCUAGUUGGUGAGGUAACGGCCCACCAAGGCGACAAUCGGUAGCCGGACUGAGAGGUUGAACGGCCACAUUGGGACUGAGACACGGCCCAGACUCCUACGGGAGGCAGCAGUGGGGAAUAUUGCACAAUGGGGGAAACCCUGAUGCAGCGACGCCGCGUGGAGGAAGAAGGUCUUCGGAUUGUAAACUCCUGUUGUUGAGGAAGAUAAUGACGGUACUCAACAAGGAAGUGACGGCUAACUACGUGCCAGCAGCCGCCGUAA